CUUCCCCUUCUUCCUUCUCUCUCCCCUUUCUCCCCCUCCUCUCUUUCCUUUCCUCCCUUCGCUCCUUCCCCCUCUGAGGCCCGGGGCCAGUGAGCACCUUGAGCCUGGCCAGGAAGUGCCCAGCAGGGGGUCGGUCCCCGGACCGGCCCCAGGUCCUGGGAGCUGCGGCCAGAGAGACCUUCGGAGCAGGGAGGGAGGUAGCAUCCGAGCCUCAGUUUCCUCCUCCGUCAGAUGGGGGGAGGGGAGGUUAAAGACAUUAUCUCACAAAAGGCACCAACCUCGGGCUAUGGAACCCAAUAUUGAAAUAAAUAGAACUUCAGCCCAGACCUUCAAACCACUCGACAACAUAGCGCCAAAGCAAGAUCUUCAAAAAUAGUGACGUGUGUUCCAUCAUUGCUUUCAAGGAGAUCAGACAAGUUUGGGUUUUUUGGUGCGUUUCAUAAAAACAAUAAAAAUGCUUUGCAAA